UACAACAUAGCAUUAAUGCACCAAAUCCCAUUAGAACUUCGCAAUUAAGCAUGCCCAGGCUAGAGUAGUACUGGGAUAGGUGAUCGCCCAAGAAGUCCUAUUGUUUUAC
rnacentral:rRNA from 1 species